CUUUAUGAGUACAAGUAUUGUACUGAUGUAGACUUAAUAUUUCAAGAAACUUGUUUUCCUGUUCAUCGUGCCAUUUUGGCAGCAAGGUGUCCAUUUUUUAAAACACUGCUUUCUUCCUCACCAGAGUAUGGGGCAGAGAUAAUAAUGGACAUCAAUACAGCUGGUAUUGAUAUGCCCAUGUUUUCUGCUUUGUUACACUACCUUUAUACAGGAGAGUUUGGAAUGGAGGACUCAAGGUUUCAAAAUGUCGAUAUCCUUGUUCAGCUUAGUGAAGAAUUUGGAACACCAAAUUCCCUUGAUGUAGAUAUGCGUGGACUCUUUGAUUACAUGUGUUAUUAUGAUGUCGUCCUUAGUUUUUCUUCAGACUCUGAACUGGUUGAAGCUUUUGGUGGAAAUCAGAACUGUUUAGAUGAAGAGCUCAAAGCCCACAAGGCUGUUAUUUCUGCACGGUCCCCAUUUUUUCGAAAUUUAUUACAAAGGAGGAUACGAACUGGUGAAGAAAUCACAGACCGAACUUUGAGGACUCCCACAAGAAUUAUAUUAGAUGAGUCCAUUAUACCAAAAAAAUAUGCAAAAGUGAUAUUACACUGUAUGUAUACCGACGUGGUGGACCUCUCUGUUUUGCACUGUAGCCCCUCUGUGGGGAGUCUCAGUGAAGUUCAGGCUCUCGUCGCAGGGAAGCCAAACAUGACCAGGGCAGAAGAAGCCAUGGAACUUUACCACAUAGCACUGUUCUUGGAAUUUAACAUGCUUGCACAAGGCUGUGAGGAUAUCAUUGCUGAGAGCAUCUCAUUAGAUACCUUAAUUGCCAUCCUCAAGUGGAGUUCUCAUCCAUAUGGCUCUAAAUGGGUGCACCGACAAGCUUUACAUUUCCUCUGUGAGGAAUUUUCCCAGGUCAUGACUUCGGAUGUUUUUUAUGAACUCAGCAAAGACCAUCUGCUUACUGCUAUCCAGUCUGACUACCUACAGGCAAGUGAACAAGAUAUCCUUAAAUAUCUGAUUAAAUGGGGAGAGCAUCAGUUGAUGAAAAGAAUAGCAGAUAGAGAGCCAAACUUACUGAGUGGCACUGCCCAUAGUGUGAACAAAAGAGGUGUAAAAAGACGGGACCUGGACACGGAAGAGCUCAGAGAGAUCCUUUCUUCUCUCUUACCUUUUGUGCGAAUUGAACACAUCUUACCUAUAAACAGUGAAGUCUUAAGUGAUGCAGUAAGUGUUUUUCUCCAUGUAUUCCUUUCAUGAAAAGAAAAAUGCCAGGUGUAUGUUUUUAUUCAUUGUAAAUAAUUUCUGCUACUAAUAGAGUAUUGUGAAGCUGUAAUUCUGUGAGGACAGAGACAGAUGUCUAUUGUGUACGAUGUUGUAUCUCCUGUGUCUGCCACAUAAUACAGUUAAAAUGUUCAGUGAAUGAGAGUUGAGUGGGUAAAUAGGUCUUACUCAUGCAAGAGCAUUAUUUCUAGCAGAGUUAAUUCUGUCAUUUAAGUGUAGAUCAAGUAGACCCUUAUUCAAAAAGGGAAAGGUAGAAAUUACCUUUGAAGAGUCUUCAAGAACAGCAGUGAAUCAGAGAGUAGUGGAGUGGAGGGAUUGGUUGAAUAGAAAAAGAAUUGAUGGACCUGAAAAUUAAUAGAGCUCAUCUUGUUACUUUCAUAAUUUUUUAAACAGUGAAUUUUUAAAAAAUUAAUAUAAUUGGCUGGGCACGGUGGCUCACUCCUGUAAUCCCAGCACUUUGGGACGCCAAGGCAGGUGGAUCACCUGAGGUCAGGAGUUUGAGACCAGCCUGGCCAACAUGGUAGAACCCCAUCUCUACUAAAUAUACAAAAAUUAGCCAGGCGUGGUGGUGCAUGCCUAUAAUCCCAGCUACUCGGGAGGCUGAGGCAGGGGAAUUGCUUGAACUGGGGAGGUGGAGGUUGCAGUGAGCCGAGAUUGAGCCAUUGCACUCCAGCCUGGGUGACAGAGCGAGACUCCAUCUCAAAAAAAAAAAAAUUAAUAGAAUUGCUGGAAUUCAUGGAUGGGAAAAAUAAAUAUUAUAAAUAUUAGUUCUUCACACAUUGACUUAUAAACUUAAUGUAAUGCUUAUAAACAUCAUAAUAUGUUUUUUCUAACUGCACAGGAACAUUAUAAAACAUAAAAGUCUUCUGGAAAAAAAACAGAAAACAUAAUAAUAAACGAACUAUCACAAGUCAAUGUGGUGCUAGAUUAACUGAUUAGCAGAAGAAGAAAUUUAUUGAAAGUUAAACCAUCGUUUCACUGGCACACAAAAUUAAUCCUUGUUAGACUGAAGAAUUAAAUACUAAAUGGAAACAUGGAAGAACUAGAAGAAAACAAUAUUGUUUUCAAGAAGUAUUUAUGGGCUACUCUGGGCAUACUGCCUAUGGGGUAGCCCUGCUCCACAAGGAGCAGUAAUAAAAAUAAAUAAAAACAAAACUUAAAAAAAGAAAUAUUUGUGGAUUCUGAUUAGAAAAAAAAAUUCACCCUCACUAAUUACACACACACCAGAGAAAGCAAAAUGAAACAGUUACCAUUUUUUCACCUGUUAAGGUAGUAGUUAUAGUACCACUACACAACAGAAUAUUUUGCUCCCCUGAACAGUUGUUAUAAAGACUGUAUAGUGGCCGGGCGCGGUGGCUCACACCUAUAAUCCCAGCACUUUGGGAGGCCAAGGCAGGUGGAUCACCUGAGGUCAGGAGUUCAAGACCAGCCUGGCCGACAUGGCAAAACCCUGUCUCUACUAAAAAUACAAAAAUUAGCCAGGCAUGGUGGUGCAUGCCGUUAAUCCCAGCUGCUCGAGAGGCUGAGGCACAAGAAUUGCUUGAACCCAGAGGCAAGCCAAGAAUGUGUCACUGCACUCCAGCCUGGGUGACAGAGCAAGACUCUGUAUCAAAAAAAAAGAAGAAA
rnacentral:sRNA from 1 species